rnacentral:tRNA from 1 species
GGGUGCAUGGCUCAGUUGGUUAGAGCGCCGCGUUCACAUCGCGGAGGCCGCUGGUUCGAGUCCGGCUGUGCCCA